GGCUGGCCUCCGAUUAAAGGCAUGCGCCACCAACGCCCGGCCACGGAAAUCCAGUUACACCUGACCGCGAAGACGGGCUGAUUGCUGACUGCUCAGGGAAAGAAGCUCGCCUUGUGACUCCUCCAUCGAGUGCAAAGUGGGCUGUAGCCGAAGCUUUCCUGAUCCAAAUGGCACCAACACCACGAACUCUGUCUUCCAGAAUUCAUAGCUCCUCCCACUCCCCCUCGAGGUUCCCCUAAACCCGAGCGCACAGGGAAGAGGGCUGCGAGAACGCUACUGGGUGUGCGUCUGACACCAGGGCCCCCGGGCUUCCUGUACCAGAGGACCUGCAGGGUGGGGGUGAGGGAGAGCGCGUUCCAGAGAGGACUGGAACCGUCGCCCUGCCCCCUACACUUCACCCCAGUAAAAGAGGGCUGUAAAAUUC